rnacentral:rRNA from 1 species
CUACGGGGGGCUGCAGUGAGGAAUAUUGCACAAUGGGGGGAACCCUGAUGCAGCAACGCCGCGUGGAGGAUGACGCAUUUCGGUGUGUAAACUCCUUUUAUAUGUCAAGAAAAUGACGGUAGCAUAUGAAUAAGCACCUGCUAACUCCGUGCCAGCAGCCGCGGUAAUACGGAGGGUGCAAGCGUUACUCGGAAUCACUGGGCGUAAAGGACGCGUAGGCGGGUUGGAAAGUCAGGUGUGAAAUCCUACAGCUUAACUGUAGAACUGCGCUUGAAACUUCUAAUCUAGAGUAUGGGAGGGGGAGAUGGAAUUAGUGGUGUAGGGGUAAAAUCCGUAGAUAUCACUAGGAAUACCUAAAGCGAAGGCGAUCUCCUGGAACAUUACUGACGCUAAGGCGUGAAAGCGUGGGGAGCAAACAGGAUUAGAUACCCUCGUAGUC